UCCCUGGUGGCUCAGAUGGUAAAGAAUCUGCCUGCAAUGCAGGAUAUCUGGGUUCAAUCCCUGGGUUGGGAA
rnacentral:tRNA from 1 species